CCGAACCCAGACCGAGGUUUGGAGGACCAGAGGUCAGAGGUCGAUUAGCAUUCACACCUCACCAACCGAACCGGACUUUCAAGACAAACGGACUGGAGUUGGGUUAAAGCGGACUGAACUGGGCUGCUGGAAGUUGUCAAACCUUCGUCUCUGAACUCCAAAUUCUCCAAAUCUGAAUGAAUCUUCAGGAUUUUCUGAACCAACCAGCGACUUUCAGAGCUUACAGAAUCUGCUGCAGAGGUUUGGAGAUCUUCUGAGCUCCAAAGAGAUGAUUCAGAGUUGGAGACGUCUUUAGUUACCCUGAGGCAAACUGAGGAGGAGGAAUCAGAGGCUGCAGUGAUGAAGACGUGUUCAGGCUGCAGCUUCAUCAUAAACUUGUCCCUGCCGCUCCGUGAUGAGCUCCGCUCCGUCUCUUCUCUGCGGCUCGCUCGUUUGUUCGCCGUCCUGCUGCAGCUCAGCGUCUCAUCCUCAAACAUAAUUACAUCCUAAUACGUUCAGUCUGAGCGGAGCUGCAUGCUGGAGACAAAGAGAUGCUGUGCAGAAAGAAAAUAGGAAGAAACAUCCAGAAAGCUGAAAGUGUGAAGCUUCAGUCAGACUGAGAUGAUUUAUUGAUAACUGCAGCAGCAGAGAGAGAACAUCUGAGGAGCCGCUCCGCCUCUCCAUGCAGGAAUCUGAAAUAAACACAUUCACCACUCACUUUCAUUACUUUUACAUUUCAGGAUUUGUUUUUGCCAGACUAUUUCUUUUUUUCUGCAGGUUGGACCCGGUUGGUUUGGUCCGGAUCCGUCCAGGUGGAAACAUCAGCAGCCAAACGGCGACCUGAAGUUUGUCCAUCAGUCUGGAAACCUGCAGAGUCCGUCAGCAACGGCAUCGAUGCAGCUGGACCCUGAAGACGGUGGAUGCAGUUAAUGGAUGAGCAGAGACUCUGUUCCACGCCGUUCUGCUGGAGAUUCUCCAGCCGACAGCAGGUCAGAUUUUAUUAGAGUCGGGUCAUUUUUACACCUGGCAGCGCUGGACGUCUUACUGCUAACACAGUUAGCUGCAUGCUAGUUCUGACAGCAAGACUGGAAACCGAUUCCUGUAAAGUGUAACUCAAAUCACCUUGUUUAGCUGACUGAUGUCUAAACAGAUUAAAGUUAUUUCUGUGUUUCUGUGCAAAUUUGCAAACUUCUGCAUUAUUUUUGCCGA